UCAGCGACAGUGGUUUUUUUUUUUCUUUUUUCAUUUUUUUUAAUGAAUCACAAACAUGCAGAUCAGAUUUAGUGUUAUGACUGUGGUGCACGGAGCGUCACUGUUAAUUCUUGCUAAGCGCUGACAGUAGGAUCAACCACCAAACAGCACCAGGCAAAUAUGCCAUGCCAGCCCCGGGGGCGUGGAGACUGCAUAAUUACAGGCGAAGCACAGCAGUCAUUAUCAUCGCCAGUACAUCUCGGCCAGGGCGUCGGCACCACUGAUCCACAGAGCUAACUGGAAGGGAGUCAGUAUGCUGAACCAGGUACCAGGUCACUGUGUGUCUCAGGAUUGCCUGGAGGCAGCAGGAAGUUGGAAAGGUAAAGCAGCCACAACACAGCUGUCCUUGUGACAAUAAAUAAAUGCUUCAUGCAACACCUGGAUUUCUACACUGCCCUCCCAACCAAAGACCGGAAGAAAAAUGAACUCCUGGGCUCUGCUGAACUCUCUCGGACUCCUUUGCUAGAUUCUCAGCUACCCUAAGGCUCAAUCACAGCAAGUCUUUGAAUGGGAGCAAGGAAGACUAAGAGAAUUUGAAGACAGCAGCUUCAGACCUAGAUGGCACAAAGAAACAAGUUACAAGCCAAGAGCUCUGUGAGAGUUUUCUACCUCCUUCGAAACCUUUCUUCACCUCUCUAUCCUCCCACCUUCCCAUGACACAGUUCCAGAGGAGGAGUCCCCAGGAUUCCAAGUUGGAAAGAGCAACUGUCCAGCCACGAUCAAUGUGUAAUGAGACCUGUACACCCUCCUCCCCCUCACCUUACUUUCUUCUCUUUCUUCAUGCCACCUUACCAUGUGUUCCACCUGCGUCCAUUUAAAACCAGGUCUAGGGGGAGGUAGGAAUAAGAGAAAACCUUUGCAAAAAAAAACUUGGUCUGGUGUUCAUGCCUCUACUCCCAGCACUGGGGAGGCUGAGGCAGGAGAAUAGCAAGUUUGAGGCCAGCCUGGGCUGGAAAGCUAGCUCUCAAAACAUGAUACUUAGAAGCAACAGACAAGAGCUGGCUUAGAAACACAAUUUUCUGUAUGGUGUAGCUCAGUCUCCUCCAGCCUGACUUUACAGUUUGAAUCAACAAAGUGCAAAGCUCACUGGCUAAGUGAAUACCAGCAGUCACUGGCACUGGGGCGUAUCUCCUUCUCUGAGAGGGGAAAACCCGCCCCAUCCUCUGGGUCAUCUUUGUUGGAGCUCUUAGCAAAUGUAUCACACACAGAUGUCAUGGAAAGACGAAGCCGAGGCCACAGCCAGUAUUGUCACACUGUACGGCACUGGCUAAAAGCCACUCAAUUCUCUGCCUACCACCUUACCU